ACCUGGGUGGCUCAGUUGGUUGAGCAUCUGACUUCGGCUCAGGUCAUGAUCUCAUAGUUCAUGGGUUCGAGCCCCAUGUUGGGCU
rnacentral:tRNA from 1 species